ensembl:lncRNA
CUACCUAACAACCCCACCCACCUACCUAACAACCUCACCCACCUACCUAACAACCUCACCACCUAACAACCCACCUACCUAACAAUCCACCUACCGGGCCUCUCGGGUGUUACAGUUGUCUAAAGGCACUGCAUCGCAGUGCCAGCAGAGAUUCUGGGUUCAAGCCCAGGCUCUGUCGCAGCCGGCCGCGACCGGGAGGUCCUUGGGGCGAUGCACAGCGUUGUCCGGGUUAGGGAGGGUUUGGCCGGCAGGGAUAUCCUUGUCUCAUCGCGCACUAGCGACUCCUGUGGCAGGGCGCAGUGCAUUUUGACCAGGUCGCCAGGUGUACGGUGUUUCCUCCGACACAUUGGAGGACGCACAUAUAGGUUGGAUGUGCGUUAUGUCAAGAAGCAGUGCGGCUAGGUUGGGUUGUGUUUCGGAGGACGCAUGGCUCUCGACCUUUGCAUCUCCUGAGUCCGUACGGGAGUUGCAGCGAUGAGACAAGACUGUAACUACCAAUUGAAUACCACGAAAUUGGGGAGAAAAAAGGGGUAAAAAAAAAAUCAUCAAAAAUAACAACCCACCUUCCUAACAACCCAACAAUCUAACAACCCCACUAACCUACCUAACAACCCACCUACCUAACAACCCACCCACCUAACAACCCAACAAUCUAACAACCCCACCAACCUACCUAACAACCCACCUUCCUAACAACCCAACAAUCUAACAACCCCACCAACCCUACCUAACAACCCACCUUCCGAACAACCCACCUACCUAACAACCCAACCACCUAACAACACCACCCUGAUAUCUAUAGCCACAGAACUCCUCUCUUCUGAUCGCCAGUCCACAGAGGUUCACCAGGCAUGAUUUCCCUCACAGAGCGUGCAGCUCGCUGGCCCUGGCAUGCGGAGCCCUCGCAAAGAACUGCAUGGCAAAGCUAUGAACAGCACACAGCAAAAAGAGAGAUCUACUGAAUCAUCAAAUGGAGGAGAUCGCCUCAUAAAAAUGGGAAAUACAGACCACAUUCAAUAAAUGGAAAUAUAUACAUUGGGCAAGAUUGUACAUAAAAGAGGAACAAGAGUCCAGCUUCUGAAUUAUAACAUAUCAUUUCUGCUUUGGGUUUAUUUUAAGCAUGUUGUAUAGCGGGUGUUUAUGGUAAUGUUAAUGAAAGAAAACAGUAACAGAAUUAUGAUUUGGUUCAAAAUGCUAUGGAUAACCAGAGAAUGUAAUGAUCUACCUAUUAGGUGUUCAGCAAAGUUAUCACUCGUUACACACUGUAUUUAUCCAAUAUAGAGGUCAAGGGUCAAGUUCAGUAUACAUGGGACAGAGCAGAGGUCAGAUUUAGGGGUGUCUUCUCUGGAGGUCAGAUUUAGCGGUAUACAGCACAUGUGUCAUCUCUAAAGGUCGGGGCAUAGUGAUAAUGACAAAAAGAUGGAUCACACAUGACACAGUCUAUGAAUGACGUCAUCGGGUUCCUUAAGUACUUCCAGUAGUGACUCAAAAUCCAAAGAAUCAAUCACGUGGAAUGUUUGGAUGUUGUCGCACACAGAGCACUUUCCCCAUAGUCUGUUCCUCUCUCUCACAGUGCUGCAGACAGACACACAGUGUGUCCCUGCAGACUAGUUCCACCUGUCUGAUCAGGUGGUGUCACUAUUUAACAGUCCUCAUCAACACCCACUAUACUGGCUGGCUUGUGCUCUCAUAAACUCUUACUAGAAAUCAAGUUCAUCUCUGCUGGUACGCUGCAUGUAUUCACACUAUAGUGGGCUUAUAAUUCUGUAAGGGAGUCCCAAAUCCGCAAGAUAAAAUAUGCUGCUAAAGAAAAGGUGCAUGUCAACAAACAAAAUAUUUAAAUUUUAUUUCUAUGCAAAGAAAGAUGUUGCACAAACUUAUGGGGUUAUUACAUGAAAUAAUGAUAUCAGUAUAAACAUGGAAUAAAACCUCUGCGAAUCAGCCAACAUUUUGUAUUCAGCUAUUCCCACAUCUCAUUUCAUUUCGCUUCAAAGUACUGAAAUAAAGAAUGACAAUGUGCAUAAUUGAAUCAACAUGUCCAAGUGAAAAGCGAAAGAGCAUCCUUUUACAUUUGUGGAAUCGAAGAAAAUAUAUAUUUUGUGUGUUUUUCAACCGAUCUAAAAAUGACUAUUCCAAAUCUGACAUACUGUAUGUGCCGAGGCCUCAACAGGUUACAUUUCCAGGACUUUAGUUUCCAGCUCAGCUGACAGACAGUUGGUGUGUUCCAAGUGCUGCCAUCGCACUGGCAUUGUGUAAAACUCCAUGUUAGUCAUCAUCUCGUGUCCCUAUCAACACUGCAUCAUGUACAGUUGGACCGACGAAUAAACUACUGAAAUAUUUUA